GUAGGUAUAGUUUAAAAAAACAUUAGUUUGUGAAACUAAAGACAGAAGAUAAGACCUUCUUACUUACC
rnacentral:tRNA from 1 species